ACUAUAAAUGGGAAUUAAAAAAAAAAAUUGCACCAAAAUAUUUUGAAAUUUGGAACAAAAUGAAAACUACAGGUUCAAGAGGUUCACCUUGGAGUUCAAAAGUUGAAACGGGUUGAAUCGGACAAAAAUUGUAAAAGUUAGAGCAAAUGUUUUAUUUAGGUCACUUCUGGUUUUAUUUAGGGCACUUCUUGUUGAAAUAAGGUCAGUUCCGGUUUAUUUGGGGAACUUCCGGUUUAAUUUAGGUCACUUCCGGUUUAUUUGGGCCACUUCCGGUUU